rnacentral:rRNA from 1 species
GACGAACGCUGGCGGCGUGCUUAACACAUGCAAGUCGAACGAAGUGGCGAACGGGUGAGUAAUACAUGGGUAACCUGCCCUCCUUUUUGGGAUAAGCCUUGGAAACGGGGUCUAAUACCGAAUAGAGGGGGAUGGGCUCGCGGCCUAUCAGCUUGUUGGUGGGGUGAUGGCCUACCAAGGCGGUGACGGGUAGCCGGCCUGAGAGGGGGACCGGCCACAGUGGGACUGAGGUACGGACCAGACUCCUACGGGAGGCAGCAGUGGGGGAUAUUGCACAAUGGGCUGGAGCCUGAUGCAGCGACGCCGCGUGGGGGAUGACGGCCUUCGGGUUGUAAACUCCUUUCACCAUCGACGCGGUAGAUGGAGAAGAAGCACCGGCUAACUACGUGCCAGCCGCCGCGGUAAUAC